GGGUGACGGGAAUCAGGGAUGUCAGUGAUUAUCGACGAGUCUGGUGCUUCCGUUUCUUUCACAGUGAGAGUCUGCAAAACCGAAGAGAGCGAGAGAUGGGUAUAAAGAUUGGAGGGCAAAUAGAGAAGGUGAAUGGUAAAGAACUGGGCUAUAAUGAGUUCGUUGAAAGAUAUUUAGCAAAGAACCAACCAGUAGUGCUAACGGGUCUCAUGGACGAUUGGAGAGCAUGCAAAGAUUGGGUCACUGAUAGUGGCCAUCCCAAUCUUCAAUUCUUCUCUACCCAUUUUGGCAAAUCCAAAGUUCAGGUUGCGGAUUGUGGGACUAGAGAAUUCACGGAUCAGAAGAGAGUAGAAAUGACGGUUUCAGAGUUUAUUGACCAUUGGGUUGAAGGUAAUAGGAACUCCCUGCUAUAUUUGAAGGACUGGCAUUUUGUAAAGGAAUACCCAGAAUAUGUAGCAUACGGAACCCCACUACUUUUUUGUGAUGAUUGGCUUAACCUGUAUCUCGACCAUCAUCGCAUGCAUAAGGAUCCUGACACUAAUCAAGAAAAUGACGACAUAAGUUGCUCUGACGACAUAAGUUGCUCUGACUAUCGUUUUGUUUAUAUGGGAGCAAAAGGAUCUUGGACUCCUCUUCAUGCAGAUGUUUUCAGGUCAUACAGUUGGUCAGCGAAUGUUUGUGGGAAGAAGAAAUGGCUUUUUCUGUCUCCUUCCCAAUGUCAUCUUGUAUUUGACAGGCAUGCCUAUGACUGGUUGUCUUUAUGAUAAUUAGAUGUUCUAAGAAGUGAACAUAUCGUGUUGCGAGUGGAAUGAAGUCCCUUGUCUUAAUAAUGUUUUGCCCUUAAAAGAAAAAAGAAGAUUCAUUUACGGUACCAGAUGAAAUUGAAACACAACAAAGAAACAUCAAGCUUCCUUUGUUAGUGCAAAAUGGUUCACACCUUGUAAUUCUCCUUUUUAUCCAACUAUCAACUAUUUCCAUGAACUUAUUUUGAUUUUGAUAUGCAAUCAAACUGGCAACAUUGGGCUUUCUGUGAUCUUCUCUUUCAUUAUUUGCUUUUGGUAAAUCUGUGUCCUUUUUAUAUUCCUAUUUAGCUGCCACAACAAUCGCAAACUAAUAUUUAGCCCAUUGUUUGUACAGAUCUUUCUAUGUCAGUAAUGACAAGAAUCCCUUUGUUAACUUGCUUCUCCAUUUUGAUCCAGGAACUUGAAGAGCACAGUUUAUAACAUUUUUGACGAUGUUAGUGAAACAAAAUUUCCAGGUUUUAAGAAGGCUAUCUGGUUGGAAUGCAUUCAGGAUCAAAAUGAAAUUAUCUUUGUGCCUAGUGGAUGGUAUCACCAAGUUCACAAUCUGGUAUCAUGCAUUCUUUUUUCUGUUUCAUUUUUGUUUAUGAAGAUAAACAAAUAUGAUAUUGUCACCCUCUUCCUAUGAAGUUGUUUCGUACUUAAAAAGGAAUCUAGUUGCUUUUUCGCCCUUCUAAAUGCAAGUGAGAUUUGUGAACUGCGCUGCUGAAGCUCAUUUGCAGAUGCUCUUUUUGCAGUAUUCUAUUUUUUUUCCUUUUUAUAUUUAUAUAAGCCAUAAUGUUUUCAGGAAGAUACAAUAUCAAUAAACCACAAUUGGUUCAAUGCAUACAACCUUUCUUGGGUGGUAAGUAGAGUCUAUUAAUUCAUGAACAAAGUCAUACAUUUGAAUAAACUUAGGGAAGCCAAGCAUGUGUAUGUUCUCAUUACUUCAGUGGGACUUGCUUUGGAGAGACUACAAGGAGGCAAAGGAGUACAUUGAAGACAUUAGG
rnacentral:misc_RNA from 1 species